rnacentral:lncRNA from 7 species
GGGCCGGAGGUGCUCCUGGCGGGCAAGGAGGGCAGCGACGUCCCCGAGCGCCCUGCUAAUAGCGCAGCGUGGGAGACGGGCUGAGAUCGUUUCACCGCGCAGGCCGUGAUGAGCCACUGUGAAUAUAUUGCCCAUAAAAAGAAAAGUGCAUGAAGCCAGGAGGUAUUACAGAAAGCCCCCUAAAUCACUGAUGAAAGAUGAAAGGAGCCAUGUCAGUCUGAGAUGGAGUUGAAGCCUGGCCGGAACUUCACAGCACAGCUGAUUUUACCCUUGCAGCCUUUCAUGAGACAUCCGCACAGUGUACCAUAUCCCUGAAGAAAGAGGCUAAUCAAGAGACUGUUUCCUUUACAAUGAUUAAUUCCUUUGAGGCCAGUUUCCAGGUGCCCUUACUAUUCUGGAGUCAGUGCCAAAUGAGCCCUUUCUCUUACUGCAACAUCUGUUUGUCAGGCAGCCAGUAUCUGAAUUCAAUAUUUCCUGCAGAACUGUGCUUUGGGGCUUAUCGACAAGUCUGCAGGUGCUGCUUUCACUCAAGAAAUGUGCCCGGUCAGGAAGAAACCGUAAAAGACCACAAAGACAUGUUUUUCAUAUGGCCUUCUAAAUUGCACCCAGCUCCACUUGAAGAUGACAGAAAAGUGCACUUAGACAUGUGAAAUCGGCAAUUAAAUGCACGGGUGUCUAUUUGAUGUAUAUAAUGUAUAAUCUGUGAUGAAAACGUGAGCUGUGAUUUCAUCGAUUGAAACAGUUGCACUCGACAGAAUAGACUGAUUGCCCUCUUAUUCAGAAUGCCAAGAACAUACUUAGGCAAAAUAACAUAAAUAAAUGAUCCCAAAAAAGCUUCAUAUAGGAAAAGUACAUUGAGGAGACUUCUCCUGUGGCUUCACAUCAAACUAAGCCAACUUCCAUCUUAAAAGUAAUUAUAAAAACUAGAUUUUUCUUUACUGAUAACUGACACUGAGGAUUAAGAUGCUGUUUCUGUCCUGAUACGAAUAUUAAUUAAAAUAAUAAAU